rnacentral:rRNA from 1 species
AUUGAACGCUGGCGGCAUGCCUUACACAUGCAAGUCGAACGGUAACAGGUCUUCGGGUGCUGACGAGUGGCGAACGGGGGAGUAAUACAUCGGAACGUGCGCGAUCGCGGGGGAUAACGAAGCGAAAGCUUUGCUAAUACCUCAUACGAUCAACGGAUGAAAGCAUGGGUGGGCCCGGCCUUGCGCGGACGGAUCGGCCGAUGGCAGAUUAGGCAGUCGGUGGGAUAAAAGCUUACUAAGCCGAUGAUCUGCAACAGGUCUGAGAGGACGACCCCCCAGACUGUGACUGAGAAACGUCCCAGACUCCUACGGGAGGCCACAGUGGGGAAUUUUGGGCGAGGGACGAAAGGCGAAUCUAGCCAUGCCGCGUGAAGGAUGAACGCCUACGGGUUGGAGACUGCUUUUGUACGGAAGGAAAAGACUCUGGUUAAUACCUGGGGUCCAUGACGGUACCGUAAGAAUAAGCACCGGCUAACUACGUG